rnacentral:rRNA from 1 species
UGGGGAAUAUUGCACAAUGGGCGAAAGCCUGAUGCAGCAACGCCGCGUGAAGGAAGAAGGCCCUUGGGUCGUAAACUUCUGUUCUAAGGGAAGAUAAUGACGGUACCUUAGGAGCAAGUCCCGGCUAACUACGUGCCAGCAGCCGCGGUAAUACGUAGGGGGCGAGCGUUAUCCGGAAUUAUUGGGCGUAAAGAGUACGUAGGUGGUUAUCUAAGCGAGGGGUUUAAGGCAAUAGCUCAACUAUUGUUUGCCCCGCGAACUGGGUGACUUGAGUGCUGGAGAGGAACGCGGAAUUCCUAGUGUAGCGGUGAAAUGCGUAGAUAUUAGGAGGAACAUCAGUGGCGAAGGCGGCUUUCUGGACAGUAACUGACACUGAGGUACGAAAGUGUGGGGAGCAAACAG